rnacentral:rRNA from 1 species
AUUGAACGCUGGCGGCAUGCUUUACACAUGCAAGUCGAACGGCAGCACGGGUGCUUGCACCUGGUGGCGAGUGGCGAACGGGUGAGUAAUGCAUCGGAACGUGCCCAUGAGUGGGGGAUAGCCCGGCGAAAGCCGGAUUAAUACCGCAUACGCCCUUAGGGGGAAAGCGGGGGAUCUUCGGACCUCGCGCUAUUGGAGCGGCCGAUGUCGGAUUAGCUAGUAGGUGGGGUAAAGGCUCACCUAGGCGACGAUCCGUAGCUGAUCUGAGAGGAUGAUCAGCCACACUGGGACUGAGACACGGCCCAGACUCCUACGGGAGGCAGCAGUGGGGAAUUUUGGACAAUGGGCGAAAGCCUGAUCCAGCCAUGCCGCGUGAGUGAAGAAGGCCUU